rnacentral:misc_RNA from 4 species
GUACCUUCAAGCUUUGCUUGGUGUUGGGUGCUUGUCUUUUUGUUAAGACUCACCUCAAAGUCAUUGGCAGCCAGUGUUUUGGUAGUAAGCGCAGCACAUUUUGCGUCUUGGUCCCUCAACAGCGGCAUCCAUCAAGCCAUUUUCUCAC